GGACGAUGCGUUACAGCAGUCUGCCACACCAGUGGCUACUCCACCACCACCACCAUCAAUCCCCUACCAUCAGCGCGCCAGUACAUCAGCCUCGAUGAUGCGAGGACUGAAUGGCUGUUCCACGAGCGCAUCAAUGAGGUCGUGCUGAGACAUUUCCCCCACCCAUGGUCGUGUCUGAGGUAGGUGCCACCAGAGCACAAACAUUUAUGGUUCGUGAGGAUAAAGAUGACCUACUGCGGGACUAUGACGAUGAGUCCAUGUUCUAGGUCUUCCACAUGUGGGCCGAAAAGUACAUCCGAAAGAUUCAUCCAUUGCUUGGUCCAGCCUGAUCAGGCCACUCUGGCUGGCCAAUGAGGUCUGGCUCUAGCUCUAGGCGUAUUGGGCUAGUGAGGGCUUCUAUCAGGAGUCCUCCAAGAGUAAGGCGAACUAGGUGCCGAACCCUGCGGUGUCUUCGACUGUGUACCAGGGAGGGGGUCUUCCUCAGUCGGCAUGCACAAGAGGAAGUUGGAGAUGGAGCUCGGUCAACCACCCAAGUAGAUGAAAUUAUUCGAGCAGUGCUAGAAGAAGAAAGAGCACGGCGGUUGGAGUGGGCCGAGGGUGGCUAAGGUGGAGGAGACGUUCCAAAAGAUGGCGGAGUAUCGUCAGGCCCAGCCCAUGGCCAACGACCUCAGUGCCCCCGCCAAGUCCGAGGCUUCGAUGGCAAUGACGAAGCAGUAGAUGUGUGCUGGCUGCAGUCGGGGGCAAGAAUAAGGGCCGAGUAUUCGGCCUUGGUUCUGAGGC